GGACCGUUAGCUCAGUUGGUAGAGCAGCUGACUCUUAAUCAGCGGGUCGAAGGUUCGAGUCCUUCACGGUCCACCA
rnacentral:tRNA from 4 species